CCUCUCUACUUCAGUCAGGCCAGUCUUUCCACAGUCCCAGUGGGUCCUGGAGCAUCUGCAGGAAACCAUCUGAAAACCACUGCUCUAGGCCAGACCUGUGAGGAGCAGUAGAGCCCGCUGGGUCUCCUGACCGACCAGCACAAUCUGUUUGAAGUUCAUGGAGUGAUGGAACGUCAUCUUGAAGACACGCUGCCCGCUGGACUGCAGGGCCGGACCCCAGAACCCUGCUCUCGUAGGCGGGGACUGAGCCUGCGACAGAUGCGUCUCCACACGCCCUCAGCGUCGCACACUUCGUGGAAGUAGCGGCAGGUCUGGCCUAGGGCGACUACGUCUCUGACUGGGAGGAAUGAGAUGAUAUGUUCCACCUAGGGGGCAGGAGGGAGGAAGCAGGGGUCAUUGGCACCCCGUCAUGGUCUGGCUCCCAGUCCUUUAUUCUCAAUACCUCUCCCCAAGGACUCACCAGCUCUGGGGGAAACGACUGAACAGAAAUAGGGUUCCCUCUCCCUUUCUUCUCUUCACCCCCAGGCUCUGGGCCACAGGAAAGGCAGCUCCGCUUCACCUACCCAAGGAGAAGGGGGAGCAGAGGGGUUCCCUGGGGUCAUGCCUCUUUUGUUCCCUCUGUCAGCCUGUCUUUCACUCAUUUCUAUUUGGGGGUUCAUAACUGACUUCCAGCUCUGUGCUGUCAAAUCUCCCCAUCGCUGUCUCCGCACUCUCCCCCGUCUGCCUUGCGACUUGUCUCAGCUGCUCCCAAGAACCCUUCCCCUGACCUCUUGGUGCCAUCUCCCUGCCCUUCCCUUGCCUCCCCCCUCACCCUGAGCCCCUCUGCCCAUCCGAACAGCCUGAUGAAUUUUUGCAGCUUCAGUCUCCAGCUUUUCCUCACCAUCCUGACUGCCCCCUCCCUGCUCCUGCCCUCAUCUCUCCAGGCCCCUUGGAACCCGUACUCAGCUCCCUGGCCCCCACCCCUGUUGCCUUUCCCACACCAUGUCCCCUGCCUAGGCUUGGGGGAUUUCUGGGGCCCCUCUCCCUCUGGAGUCCAGGGCAAACAGACCUCUCUGUGACCUCACUGUCCUGCCACUAUGACCUAUUUUCCCCAACCAGGCCCAGGACUUUAUCUCUUAGACAGCUCCUGGGUUUUAGCUUCGCUCUAGCCACCCAAUGGCUCAAGGAAUAUGCAAUUUACAGGAGAAAUAAAGUGUGAACACUGGUAGAUGUUUUUUCUUUCAGGGAGUAGUAGGAGGGCUUUCCAUGUGACCCCAGUCAGCACUAACUUUGUAGAGAAACACUGGUGAGUUCUUCAUACCCCAGCCGGCCAGGUCCCCAAGAUUUGUAACU